rnacentral:rRNA from 1 species
UGCUCUUUCCGCCUAUAUACCGCCGUCCGUCAGCUCACCCCAUGAGGGCUCAACAGUAAGCAUAAUGACCUUCUUUAUCCUCAAUACGUCAGGUCGAGGUGUAGCGAAUGAAGUGGGAAGAAAUGGGCUACAUUCUCUUUCUAAAGCACACGAACAGAAGUAUGAAAAACUUCUCAAAGGUGGAUUUAGCAGUAAGUAAAUUUUAGAACAUUAUACUGAAACCGGCUCUGGAGCGCGCACACACCGCCCGUCACUCUCCUCGAGAAAUCACCAUAAAUUAUAUAAAAAACUUUAAAAUAAAGAGGAGGCAAGUCGUAACAUGGUAAGUGUACUGGAAAGUGCACUUGGAUUAA